rnacentral:rRNA from 1 species
UACGGAGGAUGCGAGCGUUAUCCGGAUUUAUUGGGUUUAAAGGGUGCGUAGGCGGACUGUUAAGUCAGCGGUAAAAGCCCGGGGCUCAACCCCGGCGAGCCGUUGAAACUGGCUGUCUUGAGAUGUCGAGAGGUAUGCGGAAUGCGCAGUGUAGCGGUGAAAUGCAUAGAUAUCACGCAGAACUCCGAUUGCGAAGGCAGCAUACCGGCGCCCGACUGACGCUGAAGCACGAAAGCGUGGGUAUCGAACAGG